AUGACUCGGUGGAUUUGGGUGGCAGUGCUAAGCGCUCCAGUGUUUUGGACAGCCUGGGCAGAGCCUCUCAAAAACCACCACCAAAGAAGACAUCAGCUGUCCCUGUGCGGUGGUGGCAGGAGGAGGAGGACAGCGAAGAGACACCUGGCAGAGGAUUGCUGGGAUCUGAGAAGACGUUCCGUAAGUUUCUGAGAAGAUCCUAGCCCAUCCAGGAGGAUGAAGAGGAGCUGCAGCAUCAGGGAGUAGAGAGGUUCAGAGGAGGAGGAGGGGGCAGAGCCUGCCAUCUUCAGCAGAGACAGUCUGGAGUCUGAGGGUGUCUGCUCUGGUGAGAUGGAUAGAUACUCUAUAUGAUCUAGCUCAAUCCAUUGCUAACCUGACAUCAGGGUAGUGACAUGAAAGCAGCUGUACGUGCCAGAUGUAAACUAUUUUACUUCAAACUCUUUGAAAAUAGCAAUGGUUGAAACAUGUAUGUCUGUGAUUGUGUCUACCCAGACUCUGUGAUGGCGUCCAGACCAGGUCAGAACGCUGCAGUGGGUCUUGGUCUGGGCAUGGACAGCAUGGAGGAGGAAUAGAAGAAGGCCCGCUUCUUUGCCCACCUGGAGGGAGGUGCAUCCUCCACCAUAGACUACUCCAGAGUCAACAAAGAUCUGGAUUCCACCAGCGACUCCACCACAGCUACCACCCUCAGGUAUCUAUGACACUCCCCGGAGCUAAGGGGGGUGUUGUCUCUACACAAUGGUCUCAGGUCGGUUUUGCGUUUCCACUUUCGAGUGGUUAAGGUUAGGACCUUGUGAAGACAAGCUGAUCCUAGAUCUCUUACUAGGGGCAUCUUCAUUCCGGAGCAUGACACUCCGAGUCGCCCCAGGCCUAGCUGUAGCUGCCUUUUGAAGCCACUGCUGGGGUUGUCCCAAGGAGACCCUCAGUGUUGCAGGCAGUGGCUGGGUAGUGGCUAGGUAAGGUCAUUACUAUCACUCCCAGCGUGUGAUCUGUGAAUGACACUUGUUCUGCUGUUUCUCCAGGAAAGCAGUGGCGGCUGUGGCGGCGGUCGAUCAGAGAGAGGAGGAAGCUAUGGAGUCUGACAGACUCUCCCCAGGUAGGACAGAUGAUGCAAUUAUAGAAUUAGGAAUUAUAAUAAUCAUUUAAUAGGAUGUCUAUGCUCACACUACUCCAGACCCUGCUUGGUUCAAUAGGUUUUGUUUUCUUUGAAACACUUUGAAGUUGGGAGUGGUUUGCACAUUUGCUGACGAUUCCGUUGGUUCAGUUGCAACAGGCAAGCUCAAUCAAUUGCCAUUAAGGCAUUUGAAAGGAAACAAAUCCUAUUUGAACCCAUGUCUGUUGUCAUUUACAGUGGCACUCUGUUAGACAUGUACUUGCACAUAGCUCAUAUGUAUGAUUGUAGCUCAUCAGUGAAUCUGUCAUUCUGUCUGUGCCUGCUGCAGCCUCCCACUACAGCGAGGAUGAGCACUUCGAAGAUGCGGUCAUUGAGGAGGUGAAAAAUUGGGUGAGACCUAGGUUUUAUGCGAGUCUGGUUUGAAAAUGUAGUCAUUUAGUUCUAAUAAUGCUUUGUAAGGGAGUGAUUUGAACCAGAGG
rnacentral:lncRNA from 8 species